ensembl:lncRNA
AGAGAGGGAGAGGCAGGCGCAGAGAGGGAGAGGCAGGCGCAGAGAGGGAGAGGCAGGCGCAGAGAGGGAGAGGCAGGCGCAGAGAGAGAGAGGCAGGCGCAGAGAGGGAGAGAGAGAGAGGCAGGCGCAGAGAGAGAGAGAGAGAGAGAGAGAGAGAGAGAGAGAGAGAGAGAGAGAGAGAGGCAGGCGCAGAGAGAGAGAGAGGCAGGGGCAUGCACGCGGACGGACGCAGGCAGGGGCACGCAUUGGGGCAGGCACACAGACAGCCCAUCAGCUGUCUGACUGCUGCAUAAAUAAUGCAGAGGCUUACCUCAGUGUUUUCAUGUUCUCAUCCAUCUCUGUGAGUACCUUCUGUGCUUGGUCAU